rnacentral:rRNA from 1 species
CCUACGGGUGGCUGCAGUGGGGAAUAUUGGACAAUGGGCGAAAGCCUGAUCCAGCCAUGCCGCGUGUGUGAAGAAGGCCUUCGGGUUGUAAAGCACUUUCAGUGGGGAAGAAAGCCUUGGGGCUAAUACCCUCGAGGAAGGACAUCACCCACAGAAGAAGCACCGGCUAACUCCGUGCCAGCAGCCGCGGUAAUACGGAGGGUGCGAGCGUUAAUCGGAAUUACUGGGCGUAAAGCGCGCGUAGGCGGUCUGAUAAGCCGGUUGUGAAAGCCCCGGGCUCAACCUGGAACGGCAUCCGGAACUGUCAGGCUAGAGUGCAGGAGAGGAAGGUAGAAUUCCCGGUGUAGCGGUGAAAUGCGUAGAGAUCGGGAGGAAUACCAGUGGCGAAGGCGGCCUUCUGGACUGACACUGACGCUGAGGUGCGAAAGCGUGGGUAGCAAACAGGAUUAGAUACCCCUGUAGUC